UUUUGGAGGGCAAGUCUGGUGCCAGCAGCCGCGGUAAAUUCCAGCUCCAAUAGCGUAUAUUAAAGUUGUUGCAGUUAAAAAGCUCGUAGUUUGAAUUUCGGGAUCAAUUUGUCGGUCGUGCCUCGGUACGUACUGGCAUUAUUGGUUUCUACCUUSUGAAGAACCUUGAUGUCAUUAAUUUGGUGUCUUGGGGAAUCAGGACUGUUACUUUGAAAAAAUUAGAGUGUUUAAAGCAGGCAUACGCUUGAAUACAUUAGCAUGGAAUAAUGAAAUAGGACGUUUGAUUCUAUUUUGUUGGUUUCUAGGAUCGACGUAAUGAUUAAUAGGGAUAGUUGGGGGCAUUAGUAUUCAAUUGUCAGAGGUGAAAUUCUUGGAUUUAUUGAAGACUAACUACUGCGAAAGCAUUUGCCAAGGAUGUUUUCAUUAAUCAAGAACGAAAGUUAGGGGAUCGAAGACGAUCAGAUACCGUCGUAGUCUUAACCAUAAACUAUGCCGACUAGGGAUCGGAUGAUGUUAAUUUUUUAAUGACUWAUUCGGCGCCUUACGGGAAAC
rnacentral:rRNA from 1 species